rnacentral:snoRNA from 1 species
CAGUGAGAGGAAUGAUGUAUUACAGACGGGCUUUGAAACUUCAGGCUUUUCUCGACAUGGCUACGGAAAACAGUAAGAUGAGUUUUAUCG